rnacentral:rRNA from 1 species
CCUACGGGGGGCAGCAGUGGGGGAUAUUGGACAAUGGAGGGAACCCUGAUCCAGCGACGCCGCGUGCGUGAAGAAGUAUCUCGGGAUGUAAAGUUCUAUCAGCAGGGAAGAAGAAAUGACGGUACCUGAGUCAGAAGCUCCGGCUAACUACGUGCCAGAAGCCGCGGUAAUACGUAGGGGGCAAGCGUUAUCCGGAAUUACGGGGUGUAAAGGGAGCGUAGGCGGUGUUGUAAGUCUGGAGUGAAAGGCGGGGGACCAACCCCCGAACUGCUCUGGAAACUAUGUGACUGGAGUGCAGGAGGGGAUAGCGGAAUUCCUAGUGUAGCGGUGAAAUGCGUAGAUAUUAGGAGGAACACCAGUGGCGAAGGCGGCUCACCGGAGUGUAACUGACGUUGAGGCUCGAAAGCGUGGGGAGCAAACAGGAUUAGAUACCCCGGUAGUC